UACGUAGGUGGCAAGCGUUGUCCGGAUUUAUUGGGCGUAAAGAGCGCGCAGGCGGUUCGUUAAGUCCGAGGUGAAAUCUCCCGGCUCAACUGGGAUAGGUCUUCGGAUACUGGCGGACUUGAGGAGAGCAGAGGUGAGUGGAAUUCUCGGUGUAGUGGUGAAAUGCGUAGAUAUCGGGAGGAACACCAGUGGCGAAGGCGACUUCCUGGCCUGUUCUUGACGCUGAGGCGCGAAAGCUAGGGGAGCAAACAGG
rnacentral:rRNA from 1 species